rnacentral:rRNA from 1 species
AAACACGGACCAAGGAGUCUAACAUGUGCGCGAGUCAUUGGGCUGUAAAACCCAGAGGCGCAAUGAAAGUGAAGGUCUCGCCUUGCGCGGACCGAGGGAAGAUGGAGCGCGCGUCAGCGUGUCUUCCGCAUUCCCGGGGCGUCUCGUUCUCAUUGCGAGUUGAGGCGCACCCAGAGCGUACACGUUGGGACCCGAAAGAUGGUGAACUAUGCCUGGCCAGGACGAAGUCAGGGGAAACCCUGAUGGAGGUCCGUAGCGAUUCUGACGUGCAAAUCGAUCGUCGGAGCUGGGUAUAGGGGCGAAAGACUAAUCGAACCAUCUAGUAGCUGGUUCCUCCGAAGUUUCCCUCAGGAUAGCUGGUGCUCUACCGAGUCUCAUCCGGUAAAGCGAAUGAUUAGAGGCCUUGGGGCCGAAACGACCUCAACCUAUUCUCAAACUUUAAAUGGGUGAGAUCUCCGGCUUGCUUAAAGCUUUGAAGCCGCGAGAGUUGGAUGGAUCGGAGUGCCAAGUGGGCCACUUUUGGUAAGCAGAA